AGUGAACGCUGGCGGUAGGCCUAACACAUGCAAGUCGAACGGCAGCACAGUAAAAGCUUGCUCUUACGGGUGGCGAGUGGCGGACGGGUGAGGAAUACAUCGGAAUCUACUUUUUCGUGGGGGAUAACGUAGGGAAACUUACGCUAAUACCGCAUACGACCUACGGGGGAAAGCAGGGGAUCUUCGGACCUUGCGCGAUUGAAUGAGCCGAUGUCGGAUUAGCUAGUUGGCGGGGUAAAGGCCCACCAAGGCGACGAUCCGUAGCUGGUCUGAGAGGAUGAUCAGCCACACUGGAACUGAGACACGGUCCAGACUCCUACGGGAGGCAGCAGUGGGGAAUAUUGGACAAUGGGCGCAAGCCUGAUCCAGCCAUACCGCGUGGGUGAAGAAGGCCUUCGGGUUGUAAAGCCCUUUUGUUGGGAAAGAAAAGCAGCAGGUUAAUACCCCGCUGUUCUGACGGUACCCAAAGAAUAAGCACCGGCUAACUUCGUG
rnacentral:rRNA from 1 species